rnacentral:rRNA from 1 species
GACGUAGGGCGCAAGCGUUGUCCGGAUUUAUUGGGCGUAAAGAGCUCGUAGGCGGCUUGCCACGUCUGCCGUGAAAACCAGCAGCUUAACUGUUGGCUUGCGGUUGAUACGGGUUGGCUGGAGUUCGGUAGGGGAGACUGGAAUUCCUGGUGUAGCGGUGAAAUGCGCAGAUAUCGGGAGGAACACCAGUGGCGAAGGCGGUUGCCUGGAGCUUUGCUGACGCUGAUGCGCGAAAGCGUGGGGAGCGAUCCGG